AGAGUUUGAUCAUGGCUCAGGACGAACGCUGGCGGCGUGCUUAACACAUGCAAGUCGAGCGGAAAGGCCCUUCGGGGUACUCGAGCGGCGAACGGGUGAGUAACACGUGAGUAACCUGCCCCAGACUUUGGGAUAACCCUCGGAAACAGGGGCUAAUACCGGAUAUUACUUCGCAUCGCAUGGUGCUUGGUGGAAAGUUUUUCGGUUUGGGAUGGACUCGCGGCCUAUCAGCUUGUUGGUGAGGUAAUGGCUCACCCAAGGCGAGGACGGGGUAGCCGGCCUGAGAGGGCGACCGGCCACACUGGGACUGAGACACGGCCCAGACUCCUACGGGAGGCAGCAGUGGGGAAUAUUGCACAAUGGGCGGGAAGCCUGAUGCAGCGACGCCGCGUGAGGGAUGACGGCCUUCGGGUUGUAAACCUCUUUCAGCAGGGACGAAGCGCAAGUGACGGUACCUGCAGAAGAAGCGCCGGCCAACUACGUGCCAGCAGCCGCGGUAAGACGUAGGGCGCGAGCGUUGUCCGGAUUUAUUGGGCGUAAAGAGCUCGUAGGCGGCUUGUCGCGUCGACUGUGAAAACUUGGGGCUCAACUCCAAGCUUGCAGUCGAUACGGGCAGGCUAGAGUUCGGUAGGGGAGACUGGAAUUCCUGGUGUAGCGGUGAAAUGCGCAGAUAUCAGGAGGAACACCGGUGGCGAAGGCGGGUCUCUGGGCCGAUACUGACGCUGAGGAGCGAAAGCGUGGGGAGCGAACAGGAUUAGAUACCCUAGUAGUCC
rnacentral:rRNA from 1 species